rnacentral:misc_RNA from 1 species
AAAGUCGUAACAAGGUUUCCGUAGGUGAACCUGCGGAAGGAUCAUUAAUAGAGUUAUGCCUCUUUUGAGGUAAAACCUCCAACCCUUUGUUGUACUUGACUUUGUUGCUUUGGCGGGGGUAGUAAAAGCAUUUUUCCUCCUGCCAGAGGAAAUUUGAACUCUGAAUAUUUUUUGCUGUCCGAGUUUACUACAGAAAUAAAAACUUUCAACAACGGAUCUCUUGGUUCUG